AAAAUGUUAAGUUAAGUUAAAACUGUUAGCCUUCAAAGCUUAAAAUGGGAUUUUCUCAUAUUUUA
rnacentral:tRNA from 1 species